rnacentral:tRNA from 1 species
GGCGAGGUAGCUCAGAUGGUUAGAGCGCAUGAUUCAUAAUCAUGAGGUCUUGGGUUCAAUUCCCAAUCUCGCUA